AUGGAUUUUAUCUCAGGAUUGCCAUCUUCUGAUCAGUAUGAUUGCAUCAUGGUGGUCAUUGACAAAUUUACAACAUAUGGUCAUUUUAUACCUGUCAAACAUCCAUAUAUAGCCCAGAAAAUUGCUGAACUUUUUCUGGACAAUAUUUAUAAACUUCAUGGCAUGCCUCUCUUUAUAGUAUCUGACAGGGAUCCAGUUUUCACCAGCAAAUUCUGGCAAGCUCUAGUGAAGAGGACAUGA
rnacentral:rRNA from 1 species